AUUAGGGGAAGGACUGAAGGAGCUGAAGAGCACCGCAUUAAACCAAGAAUGGUGGAUACACCUUCAACUCCAGCCUUGGAGAAGUGGAGGCAGGAGGAUCAGAAGUUGAAGCUCCAUGCCAUCCUUGGCUACGUAUACAGGAAAUCUAACCAAGGGCAUGCUGGGUAUUCGCUCUACCCCCGGGACUACAACCCUGCUCUUCACCAACCUUCUAUCAUGGUUUGAAACCAACCACGUGGGGGGUGCAUAAUCAUGG